GAACCUUGAUGUGGAUGAUAUUGUACUUCUCUCUCGACGGCAACCCACAGCCACAUGCUGCAUGGACCGGUUAGAGCGGUUUAUCAUAUCGAUUAGACCGGUUUUUUCCAGGUUCGCUAGAAAUCACCGAAGAAUGGGCUCUUGUAUUCGCUUGCUUUUCCUUAUUUUCAACCGAUGGGCCAAUCGGUUUUCUGACUGAAGAUCGUAUUUCUUGAAAUACAUCAUCAAUGGAAGUUAAAUCUUUUAUUUGAAC
rnacentral:lncRNA from 1 species